CUGAGUGCCCACGGGGUGCCUAGAGCCUGGCGGGACGUCGCGGGGAUGCGGCUGGAGGAAUCGGAGCCGGCCCUGCCCUCUCGGCACUCGCGGUCCGGACCAGGAAGGCGGCCCGAGCAGGACGGAUGAGGAAAUUGAGGCUCAAAUACUUGAGGGAACCUGCCCAAAGCCACACCAAUGCUGCGGCCCUAACUCAGUCCAGUGUGGUUCCUGACUUCUCAUCCACCUCCGUCAUGAGACCAUCUGCCACAG
rnacentral:lncRNA from 10 species